UUCCUUUCUCUUGUUCACUCUGUUUUCUCUCCACCUCCCAUGUGGCGUGGGCUACCUCACCCUCUCCAUCUCAAUCUUUCCCCAAACACAAUGCUCAGUCUGGUGUUGCUGUGCGCUUUAUGGGAAGAAGAAAUGCUAAUAUACUCAUGGAGAAGCAGGCAACAAGCGUCCAGCCAUGAUGCCCACCAUGACUCCAUCUUCCUGACCAACAGUGUGGGCAGUCCUGGUGACAGUGUGCUGCCAUAACAACAGGGAGAUGUCAAGCUCACAGUGAAAUUUUGGUACCACUGUCAGUGAGAAUUUAGGUGCUUUCACUGGCUCAAAUAUCCAUGUUGCAGACCCUGCUGAUGAGCUGCUUGUUGCCUUCCAGUGCCCGUCACUAUGCCAGCCGUCUAAUGCUUCAGGGUGCUGGACUGCGCAGGCGGCAGGUGACACGGAUUUCAAUAAAAGGGAUUAUAGAUGUGGGGACUGCAGAGAGGAAAAACAACACAUUCGUGUACGCAUUUAGGGCAGAAGCAUGCCUGUGAAUAUACAGUAGACACAUACAAAAUUGACAUUGUGGAAAAUUUAAGAGCUAGCACUGGAAGAAUCAAUUAAGAGGCAGGUGGAAUGUGAUCUAAAUGUAAAACAAAAAUGUUUGUUUAACCUAGUAAAUUUUUUGUACACACAAGA